rnacentral:misc_RNA from 1 species
GUCGAAGGUGGGGCUGAUGACUGGGGUGAAGUCGUAACAAGGUAUCCGUACCGGAAGGUGCGGAUGGAUCACCUCCUAACAGGGAGACAAAACAAUGAUUUUGAUGUCUGAGUAUUUCAUUCUUAGGCCGAAAUCCUGUCACCUUAGGUCGAUCGGUACCUCAACAUUUUUCCAAAGAUUGGUGAGCAAUCAUCAAGAGAUUGGAAGGGAUGUUCAGUUCCUAAACUUUGUCUAGGUCACACCCCGCAAGGGAAGAGUCCCCUGGGCCAUUAGCUCAGGUGGUUAGAGCGCACCCCUGAUAAGGGUGAGGUCCCUGGUUCAAGUCCAGGAUGGCCCAUUCGGUGUUGGGGGUUUAGCUCAGUUGGUAGAGCGCCUGCUUUGCAAGCAGGAUGUCAGGAGUUCGAGUCUCCUAACCUCCACUGACAGAACUCAAUCUCCAUUGUCCGGUAACUCGGAGGAUGAACUCAAAGGUGUGUGAUUUAGAUGUGUCCACUAGAUAGGACCCUAGCUUCCUGUCAUUCCGAACAAGUGAUUAUUGCUUGAUUGGCUGAUAUGAUGCUGGGCUCAAAUUAAUCAAAAGAUUAAUUUGAUCUCUAGUAGAACCUUGACAACUGCAUAAGUAAGUCUGGAAAAACGAAGCAUCUUACAGAUGCAUUGUUUUAAGUCUGAAUUCUCGAAAGAGAGUUUGGAUCUAGAAUGAUGAAAAUUCUUUUAAGCAAGAGCCGAGACUCUUAGAUGUUCUUUUUAUCGUGUCGAGCGAUAAAGAGUUUGAUUUUGUUUUUAUGAGCAGCGAAAGUUGCUGAUGAAACCAGAAGAAUCUGCUUUCAACCGCAGUAAGCGUUUAAGAGGUUAAUUGGUCAAGCUACAAAGG